rnacentral:lncRNA from 1 species
AGGCUGAGGUGCAUGUGAGACGUCUUUCACCUCGAGCCUGGCUUUACGCGGUAUUUUGCGGAUGAUUGACUCAUGGCUGAGUCAGGUGGAUAGCAUUGUAAAGGUAGAUGAAACCUUAUGAGCAGAUUGUAAAUGAUAUGGAUCUAAGAUAGAGAAAAUCUUGGAGGUCAGUUGGACGAGCUGUAGAUAGCGAGAUAGAAGUAGAAUCAGUAGA